UAAGGGAGGGCCGGGUUAGAGGCAGCUGAUUGUUACUCAGUGGGUAUGGUUUUCAUUCUCUUAG
rnacentral:tRNA from 1 species